UACGUAGGGUGCAAGCGUUUGUCCGGAAUUAUUGGGCGUAAAGAGCUCGUAGGCGGUUCGUCGCGUCGGCUGUGAAAACCCGGAGCUCAACUCCGGGCCUGCAGUCGAUACGGGCGGACUUGAGUGUUGCAGGGGAGACUGGAAUUCCUGGUGUAGCGGUGAAAUGCGUAGAGAUCGGGAGGAACAUCAGUGGCGAAGGCGGCCAUCUGGGACAACACUGAC
rnacentral:rRNA from 1 species